GAGUCUGACAGGAGAAACUCCAGUGGCUGUGGCCCUUGGGAGGCAGCAGCAGCAGCCCAGGGGUCUGACAGCCAGGUGUAUCUGUCACCAUCCCGCCUGCAGGACAGCAGAGAGAGCCAUCAUCAAGGACUCCAUGAUGGUCUAGCUGCGCUUGAGGGAUGGAACCCAGGGCCCUGUCUGUGCUAGACAGGUGCCCUCCCACGGAGCCACCACACACCCAGCCCGUCUUUCCCAUCCCUUCCUGUUCAUCUUCUGUCUCUACAUUUAUUUCGUGUUUUUAGUAGACACUGUUUACUUGGAUGAGAUCUAGUUAUUUAAAUAUAUCAGAAUAAUUAUUCAGAUUUCUGGCCAAGUGAAACAAAACAAAACAAAAUUAAAAAGAAAUUAACAGAA